GCAUGUGACAUUAUAUGUUAUAGUAACCCUCAAUGAGGCCUUUCUAUCGUAAAGAUUUUAAUGCAGAAAGAGGAGGGGGUGGAAUCUCCCAACGUCACUUUAAUCUAGCAGCAAUGAGAAAGGUGUGAUUUGAUUCAACUAGUGUGCUGCCCAGAAGCCACGGCGGAUGCCGUUUUGGCAUGUAAAUCAUCUACAGAGGAGACAGACUGGCUGGUAACUACAAAUAGGGGCAGAUGAUAAAACCUUUGGGCUCCAUCCACAACUCUACGACUCAUUCACUGGCAGUGUCACAGGAAGGAAGGAUUUGGCCCACGCCACGUCAAAAUAAUGGGGUAUGCGGGUAAGCGGGAUCAAGCUGCUCUGGAGAUAGAUCCAAGCUUUGAAGGUACCAGCUGUAGUACCCUUGCUUCAUCUACCACAAAAGCUACCAAGUCUGCACAAAAGGAAGCUGACCGCCACAGAAUAUGACGAGAGGUGAUCUCAUCUCGUCAUCAGAGCAGUUCACACUUGAGAAUUAGCUUCUUCAGAAAUACGCAUCUCUAAAAGAAAACCUUUCACAGAUGGACACUAACCAGGCAUUUCUGCCUAGGCACCUGAACACAAGCUGAGGGUGCUGAUCUGCAGAAUAUACUGCUCCUGUGUAUGCUUUGUGUGUUUUAAGGACAUACCGUGUAUUCUGAAGAAAAAGAAAAGAGUAAAACAAGUUCUGGAUGAGGAGGCACAGGACUUCUUUAACCCUGAAAUGUCAAACCUAAAUAAAAGGUUGUUUCUGUAACAAGCAGGAACUUUGCUUACAAAGAAGUACACACAAAACAAGGAGGAAGGUUAUUGUGUUUUCUCAUGUUAAGCCCCUCAAGUUUCUUGGUAACUGUUUUGCAGACUGGAUAGCUGCUUUGUGAACAAAUUGCCUUUCUUCCCAUUUGGAAUUUGAACUCUCCGACUUUCUGGAGGAAAUACCCUGAAUCACUCUGAUAUUCUAUGACAAUUUAAAAGCAACUGAAGAAAAUACUUGGCACAUCAUAACAUUUGUGAUAUGCCUCAUUUCUGAAAAUACCUAAGCAUAGAAGCCAGACUCCUGAGACAGAGUCUGUGCAAACUGCCUUUUUUUUUUACUACCUCUGCAGCAAUUUGAGAAUUGGUUGGGUAAAAUGACCUUUUCUACUCCUAAGAGUUGCACAUUUUUAAAUUACUAGGGCAGUAAUUUCCAUAAAAAAGACAUAAAUCUAUUCAUAUAAUAUAAACCAAAAUAAUUAUUUUUUUAAUCUAUUUGCAGAACUCUGAAACUCCAGAGACAUAAAACCCACAUAAGGAACAUAAGUAAACUAAGAAGUAAAGCCCAGCUAAUUUCACCAUGCUAGAAAGGAGAUUGCACAGUUUUGGUAAAACCUUAGAUUUCAUCAAGGGAGAGUCUUCAGAAUUAGAAGAUGCAGCAGCAGGCUGGCACAUACCAAUGCCAGCCCUCAGGAGGACAGGUAUGAGGAGGACUGGUGAGCUUUUGAAAUGGGAUGCAGCUCUAGUUCUAGUGGGUCAGAUCUCCUCCACCUUUUCCCAAAGAGUGUUUAGGAGGCUGAAGGCAGCUGUAAAUCGCCUCUGCCAGGGAUACAGCAGCCACACACCUCCUUGGCGGACAUAGUUUAUGCUUAGCUAACGAGUACAGCUGUGGUUAGAAAUGGCAGCCUGGCGUUCAAUCCCAUUUCUCCUGAGCUCCUGCCAUCCUUUUGCAGGAAGCCAAGUCAGCAAGGCCUAGAGUGCUUCAGGACUUCCCCUUCUACAUGCUGAGGAAGACACAGGAUCAUGGUUUGAUACCAGGCUCCACUUGCAAUAACUAAGGCACACAAGAGGUUCCCAAUAACAUCUCCUCUCUCUUUCCUUUUGCUAUCCCAAGAGCACAGCUAAACAACUCCCCCCAUAGGUAUUAUAGGUAUUACUUUUUUUUUUUUUUUCAUCAAUAAUAAGGUAAUUCCAACACUUUCAGCACGGCAGACUGUCACAUGAGAAUGAUUACUCUAAUAUGUGCCAUGAUUGAUAAAACCUGAAGGCAUUACCUCAAGUAUUGUUUCUAGAAAAUGAGUGAACUCUACCCAUAGUAACCCCCCUCAAAAACAUAUCAAGCGGGAUUGGCCCAAAGCUCUGUGGUGGGACAUGUCCCUCGUGCUGGAGACCACUGGUUUACCCGUCUCCAUCUGCAUAACACACUGCCACUGUUUCUCAGCCAUCCUCAUGAAAUCCAGAGCCUUGAGAAGAAACAAUUGGUCCAAAGGACAGAAACUUUUAAUUUGACCACCAUCGCUAACAUCCUAACACUGUUUAGAAUACAUCAGAUGAUUUAAUGAGGCCACUACUAAGCGUUGUAACCAAAGAGAUUAAUUUGAGGACUAGUGCGUGUCCUCAAAAUCACACUCAGCACGUGUGUAUCACCUACCUCAUUUUUAUACGCUUCUUUCCUUUUUCUUAGCUCUGUUUACCAAGGAACAUUUCAUUCCCCCACAGGUACAGUUUU